AGGUCAAGCUGUGAAGAGCGCAAGGGGAAUGCCUUGGCACUGAGAGCCGAUGAAGGACGCGACAAGCUGCGAUAAGCCACGGGGAGCCGCAAAUAGGCAUCGAUCCGUGGAUUUCCGAAUGGGGAAACCCGGCAGAGCAAUACUCUGUCAACCAUAGCUGAAUCCAUAGGCUAUGGUGGGGAACCGCCUGAACUGAAACAUCUAAGUAGGGCGAGGAAAAGAAAUCAACCGAGAUUCCGUAAGUAGUGGCGAGCGAACGCGGAAAAGGCCAAACCGGGUGUAGCAAUAUGCCCGGGGUUCGGACGGCAAUCUGUAGCCAUUUUCGAUAACCGAACGCGUUGGGAAGCGCGGCAAUACAGGGUGACAGCCCCGUAGGUGAAAUUGAAGUGGCGCUAGCCGGAUCCAGAGUACCACAGGACACGUGAAACCCUGUGGGAAGAUGGGGGGACCAUCCUCCAAGCCUAAAUACUACUCAGUGACCGAUAGUGGAGCAGUACCGUGAGGGAAAGGUGAAAAGUACCCCGGGAGGGGAGUGAAAAAGAACCUGAAA
rnacentral:rRNA from 1 species